UACGGAGGGUGCAAGCGUUAUCCGGAUUCACUGGGUUUAAAGGGUGCGUAGGCGGGCAGGUAAGUCCGUGGUGAAAUCUCUGAGCUUAACUCAGAAACUGCCAUGGAUACUAUUUGUCUUGAAUAUUGUGGAGAUAAGCGGAAUAUGUCAUGUAGCGGUGAAAUGCUUAGAUAUGACAUAGAACACCAAUUGCGAAGGCAGCUUACUACACAGUUAUUGACGCUGAGGCACGAAAGCGUGGGGAUCAAACAGG
rnacentral:rRNA from 1 species